rnacentral:rRNA from 1 species
AACAAACGCUGGCGGCGUGCCUAAUACAUGCAAGUCGAACGGGGAAAGCUUUCGGGUGAGUACUAGUGGCGCACGGGUGAGUAACGCGUGGAUAAUCUGCCUUAGAGUGGGGGAUAACUAGUCGAAAGAUUAGCUAAUACCGCAUAAGACCACAAGAACUGCGGUUCAAGGGGUCAAAGGUUUUUCGCUCUAAGAUGAGUCCGCGUAAGAUUAGCUAGUUGGUAGGGUAACGGCCUACCAAGGCGACGAUCUUUAACUGGUCUGAGAGGAUGAUCAGUCACACUGGAACUGAGACACGGUCCAGACUCCUACGGGAGGCAGCAGUAGGGAAUAUUGCACGAUGGAGGAAACUCUGAUGCAGCGACGCCGCGUGAGUGAUGAAGGCCUUCGGGUCGUAAAGCUCUGUCGCAGGGGAAUAACACAAUGAAGGUGCCCUGUAAGAAAGGAUCGGCUAACUUCGUGCCAGCCGCCGCAGUAACAC